rfam:Desulfotomaculum hydrothermale Lam5 = DSM 18033, WGS project CAOS01000000 data, contig: ABX_2590_11
GCAAUCCUGCUUUGUGCGUUGCUUGUUGAUUUUAAACCCACAGUGUUUUUGAGGGAGUUGGUCUUAGAUUGCGUAUACCAGGCCGCAUAAUUGGCGGAAGGUAGAAACAAUUUAGCGGCGCCCACCUGCGAGAAGCGGGUAUUAAAAACACCGAGCGAACGGCUAAGUGGAAACAUG